rnacentral:tRNA from 1 species
GCGGCCGUAGUCUAGUGGUAGGACACGACCCUGCCACGGUCGAGACCCGGGUCCGAAACCAAACCCAGGGGGAGGU